CCGGGCCUGCCCUGUGCGUGAUGGCGCCAUGACGUUUUGGGCCAACACCAGAUCGAACGGGCGCAGGAUGGAAACGGAGAGUUCCUGACCUGGUCGGGAGCGAAGCGUGGCCGAUGGCGCCCGCCCUGCGAAUGCAGGUUCAAGGCAGUGCGCACACACGGCCGGGUGGGCCCGUU
rnacentral:other from 1 species